rnacentral:rRNA from 1 species
AAAGUUUUUCGGCCAGGGAUGGACUCGCGGCCUAUCAGCUUGUUGGUGGGGUAAUGGCCUACCAAGGCGACGACGGGUAGCCGGCCUGAGAGGGCGACCGGCCACACUGGGACUGAGACACGGCCCAGACUCCUACGGGAGGCAGCAGUGGGGAAUAUUGCGCAAUGGGCGAAAGCCUGACGCAGCGACGCCGCGUGAGGGAUGAAGGCCUUCGGGUUGUAAACCUCUUUCAGCAGGGAAGAAGCGCAAGUGACGGUACCUGCAGAAGAAGCACCGGCUAACUACGUGCCAGCAGCCGCGGUAAUACGUAGGGUGCAAGCGUUGUCCGGAAUUAUUGGGCGUAAAGAGCUCGUAGGCGGUCUGUCGCGUCUGCUGUGAAAACCCAGGGCUUAACCCUGGGCCUGCAGUGGGUACGGGCAGACUAGAGUGCGGUAGGGGAGAUCGGAAUUCCUGGUGUAGCGGUGAAAUGCGCAGAUAUCAGGAGGAACACCGGUGGCGAAGGCGGAUCUCUGGGCCGUAACUGACGCUGAGGAGCGAAAGCAUGGGGAGCGAACAGGAUUAGAUACCCUGGUAGUCCAUGCCGUAAACGUUGGGCGCUAGGUGUGGGGCUCAUUCCACGAGUUCCGUGCCGCAGCAAACGCAUUAAGCGCCCCGCCUGGGGAGUACGGCCGCAAGGCUAAAACUCAAAGGAAUUGACGGGGGCCCGCACAAGCGGCGGAGCAUGCGGAUUAAUUCGAUGCAACGCGAAGAACCUUACCAAGGCUUGACAUACAGAGUAAUCCGGCAGAAACGUCGGGUCCGCAAGGGAUUCUGUACAGGUGGUGCAUGGUUGUCGUCAGCUCGUGUCGUGAGAUGUUGGGUUAAGUCCCGCAACGAGCGCAACCCUCGUUCUAUGUUGCCAGCACGUAAUGGUGGGGACUCAUAGGAGACUGCCGGGGUCAACUCGGAGGAAGGUGGGGAUGACGUCAAAUCAUCAUGCCCCUUAUGUCUUGGGCUUCACGCAUGCUACAAUGGCCAGUACAAAGGGCUGCGAGACCGCAAGGUGGAGCGAAUCCCAAAAAACUGGUCUCAGUUCGGAUUGGGGUCUGCAACUCGACCCCAUGAAGUCGGAGUCGCUAGUAAUCGCAGAUCAGCAACGCUGCGGUGAAUACGUUCCCGGGCCUU